GGGCGUCGUUCGGUCGGGCGGGGAGCGCUACGUUCACAUCGCAGAGGUCCGUGGUUCGAGUCCACGUACACCCACCA
rnacentral:tRNA from 2 species